GCCUCUUCGUGACGUAACGUCCGCUACGUUCCUGCGCUCCCACGAGGGGCGCGCACCUCGGAGGCGGGAGGGACGCGGUGGUGUGGUGGGCCCGAGGGCGCCCAGUUGUGCAGGGGUUGCCCUUGGGUGCGGCUGCUGUGCACGCUCCCCCAGACGACUACGUGAAUGAGGUGAUGGAACCGUUCAGGCCGCAUCGUCUUAGGGCGUCUGUGUGACUUCUGGCCUGGCUGCUACGGUUCGCGGCCCAGCACUGACUCAGACCAUGUGGACCGCAGAUGAGAUUGCACGGCUGUGUUACGAACACUAUGGGACUAGGCUGCCCAAGAAGGGGAAGCCCGAGCCCAACCGUGAGUGGACGUUACUGGCUGCAGUGGUGAAGGUACAACUUGUAGCUGACCGGGCCUGUGGUGGCAGUAACAGACCAACACAAGUGACAAAGGAAGUUGUCUCAAUGGGAACAGGAACGAAAUGCAUAGGCCAGUCCAAAAUGAGGAAGAGCGAGCCCUCCAGGAGCUACAUGCCCAUCCUGGCUGCUGGGGGAGUCCACCAUGUUCAGCUUCUAGGAAACAGGGCCUCUCCAGGUUCUGUAUGUCUUCACGAGUGUCCUGUCUUUGCCGCAGGAGACAUCCUCAAUGAUAGCCAUGCCGAGGUCAUAGCCAGAAGGAGUUUCCAAAGAUACCUUCACUACCAGCUCCACUUGGCAGCCGCCCUGAAGGAGGAUAGCAUCUUUGUCCCUGGCACUCAGAGAGGGCUGUGGAAACUCAGACCAGACCUCUUGUUUGUGUUUUUCUCCAGCCAUACACCCUGUGGGGAUGCCUCCAUCAUUCCAAUGCUUGAGUUUGAAGAUCAGCCCUGUUGUCCUGUCAGUAGAGAUUGGGCCAAUAACCCAUCAGUAGAAGCCGAUGGUAACCUGGAAGCUCCUGAAAAUAGAAAGAAAUGUGAAGAUCUGGGUAGUCCUGUGACCAAAAAGAUGAGGCUUGAGCCUGGAAUUCCUGAUGGUGUGGGUCACCAUCAGAGUUUUGGCAAUCAGGAGAGUGGCCCAAUCCCACCAAGUAUCAGUGGCUCUAAUCUCACCACACAGGAACUGGCCACUGUCACUGGAAUGGCCCCCAGUGGUGCCAAAGUGGUGGAUGUUUAUAGAACUGGAGCUAAGUGCGUGCCUGGAGAAGCAGGAGACUCGGGGAAGCCUGGUGCAGCGUAUCACCAGGUGGGACUGCUCCGAGUGAAGCCAGGCCGGGGAGACAGGACUUGCUCCAUGUCCUGCAGUGACAAGCUGGCACGGUGGAAUGUCCUCGGAUGCCAAGGGGCACUGUUGAUGCACCUUCUGGAAAAGCCCAUCUACCUGUCAGCCAUAGUGAUUGGGAGAUGCCCAUAUAGCCAGGAAGCCAUGCAGAGAGCUCUGACUGGGAGGUGUCAGAACAUCUCAGCUCUCCCCAAAGGCUUUGGAGUUCAAGAAGUGAAAAUACAGCAGUCAGGCUUACUAUUUGAACACAGCCGCUGCGCCGUGCAGGCGAAAAGAGCUGACGGCCCAGGCAGACUUGUUCCUUGUGGCGCAGCCAUCAGUUGGAGUGCAGUUCCUGAGCAGCCACUGGAUGUCACUGCCAAUGGUUUUCCGCAGGGAACAACAAAGAAAGGAAUCCGGUGCCUUCAGGCCAGCUCAUCCGUAGCUGCCAGGGCGAGACAGCAGCUGGCAGUGGGAGAAACAAGGUUCCAGGGCCGUAUAGUGGCAGCAGUCUCCGCCCACCCUGGAUGCCAGGAUCCACUUGCCUUUGCUGACAUGGGCAGAUCAGACCAUCCAGCCCACCUCUUUGCCUCCCUUGUGAAAGAGGAAGGCCAACAUGGAACAUUUUAAAUUACAAACGUGAAAAAAAAAAUUACAAAUGUGGCUCACAUGCCAUUUCUCAACUGUACUGCCCUGGAACAUGGAGGGACUUGAGGGACAUGGGCAGAGGGAGAAACCCCGUCGUAAAGCCCCCUAGAGCAGUAAGCCUCAACCUCCACUAUACAACAGAAUCACAGCCUCGUGUGGAAACUUUACUCAGUUGGGAGCCACACUGGGUCCUUAAACUCAGGACACCCCUUGGGCGAACUUGGAAACUGAUGAUAUUCAACACUGGGAGCAGAACACUCCAUUCAGCAGCCUGUGACCGAAUGCCCAAUUCUGAUGUGACACUGAGUGCCAUGAAACAAGACUGAAACAUCUGUACAGUAUGAUUUCAAAAUAGGACUUACAGGAUCAGGCCACACACAUACAAAGCCAGAAUGAUUUGGUCUGGAGCCAAAAAGAGCUGGGCCCCAAUUGCAGCUUAAAUUUAUUAACUCCCAUUAAAAAAAAGAAAUGAGUUAAAAGGCGACCCUAGUCAGUGGGCAGUCUCCAGGAAGAGGCUGGCGUGUCAGUUUAGGACAUGUUCCAAGCCUCUGAGAAGAUAAGUUUCGCUCUCAAGAGGUCACCUGAGCCACACAGCGCUGGGCAGGCCACAGCCAAAAUGCCCAAGGAUCCUCACACAGGUGGCUUGGAGGUGCCUGUCAGGCUGAGCUGCACAGGCUCGCUGGAUGGCCUGACAACCGGCGAGCAGCGCUGUAACUCUAAGCCUUCCUGCUGCAGGUACUGCUAAGGAAGACAGAGGCGACCUCGGGCCCCUAGAACUAAGACACAGGGCUGUGGCAUCAACUAUUACAUGCGCUCACCCCAGAAGGGUGCUGCUAAGCACCAGGAGCCCUGCCACCUUCCAAAUGCUUGAGCCUGACAAGGAAAGAAAUGGGAAAAGCCAAGGGCAGGCAGAUUCAAGCCACAGAGCCCAUCUAAGGCGUUGGUGGGACCCCGAUGUACUGACUCUCAUGAACCUAAAGUGGCCCCUAAAACUCUGUUACUCACCCCGCCCCUAAAACUCUGUUACUCACCCCUACAUUCAGGGUCACACAGAUCCAGACAAACUAGCCAAUAAUAACAGCACCUUUCAAAAGGGCCCAAAUUUGGGAACAGCAGUGCUGCCAAGGGUGACAUGAGCUUGAAGCUCCUUGAGAGCACAUGCUGGGGGAGGCCGGCCUAGAACUGAGCACUGAGCAGGCACCUAAUCCCCGCAGAACCUUCCCAUGGCCCUCGACCAAGGUCAGGUCCUGAAGGCUGUGGGCUCCAGCCUGACUCACGAAUUGGCUGGACCGACAGGCACACCUGGUCACCCAUCUGCUUCAGAGCCCACAUGCUUCCCCUGGACCUGGAUUUCUCUCUUGCCCAGCAGGGCUGUGGGCGGGGGCCACUGCGUGGACCCUGGAAAGGCAACCACCUCAGAGUGAAAGUCAACUUAACCAUGAAGGCUCUCGAUGUUCUAAAAAAUAAAAAUUAACUACUGGCUAUC